CAACAACACGCAAAAAACAAACAGUGCUGUCGCCAAAAAAAACAAAAAAACAAAAAAAAAAAAAAAAAAAAAAAUUUUUUUUUUUUUUUUUUUUUUUGUUUUUUUGUUUUUUUUGGCGACAGCACUGUUUGUUUUUUGCGUGUUGUUGCUCUUGCUUGAAGAUAUUUUUGCUUUCGAGCAAGAGCUGAAAGUUUACG
rnacentral:ribozyme from 1 species